AUUGAACGCUGGCGGCAGGCCUAACACAUGCAAGUCGGGCGGAUGAAGGGAGCUUGCUCCUGGAUUCAGCGGCGGACGGGUGAGUAAUGCCUAGGAAUCUGCCUGGUAGUGGGGGAUAACGUCCGGAAACGGGCGCUAAUACCGCAUACGUCCUGAGGGAGAAAGUGGGGGAUCUUCGGACCUCACGCUAUCAGAUGAGCCUAGGUCGGAUUAGCUAGUUGGUGGGGUAAAGGCCUACCAAGGCGACGAUCCGUAACUGGUCUGAGAGGAUGAUCAGUCACACUGGAACUGAGACACGGUCCAGACUCCUACGGGAGGCAGCAGUGGGGAAUAUUGGACAAUGGGCGAAAGCCUGAUCCAGCCAUGCCGCGUGUGUGAAGAAGGUCUUCGGAUUGUAAAGCACUUUAAGUUGGGAGGAAGGGCAGUAAGUUAAUACCUUGCUGUUUUGACGUUACCAACAGAAUAAGCACCGGCUAACCUCGUG
rnacentral:rRNA from 1 species